rnacentral:lncRNA from 1 species
CAUGGGGGUGGCUUCCACCAUACUGUUCUCAUGGUAGAGAAUAAGUCUCACGAGAUCUGAUGGUUUUAUCAGGGGUUUCCACUUCUGCGUCUUCCUCAUUCUCUGUUUGCCUGCUGCCAUCCAUGUAAGACGGGACUCCUUCCUCCUUGCCUUUCGCCAUGAUUGUGAGGCUCCCCAAGCCACGUGGAACUAGUUGAUGACACACCAAAAGUGUGAACGGCAAAAGAAAGAAAUGGAUAACUUGGACUUUAUCAAAAUGAAAACUUUUGUGAAUCAAAGAACAUUAUCAAGAAUGUGAAAAGACCACCCACAGGACGGGAGAAAAUAUUUGCAAAUCAUAUGUAUUAGUCCAUUUUCACACUGUUAUAAAGAACUACCUAAGACUGGGUAAUUUAUAAAGACAAGAAGUUUAAUUGACUCACAGUUCUGCUUGGCUGGGGAGGCCUCAGGAAACUUACAAUCAUGGUGGAAGGCAAAGGGGAAGCGAGGCUUGUCUUACAUGGUGGCAGGAGAGAGAGAUCCAAGGGGAAGUGUCAACCACUUUUAAACCAUUAGAUCUUGUGAAAACUCACUCACUAUCAUGAGAACAGCAUGAGGGAAACCACUCUUAUGAUCCAGUCACCUCGCACCAGGUCCCUCCCUCGACAGGUGGGGAUUACAAUUUGAGAUGAGAUUUGGGUGGGGACACAGAGCCAACCCAUAUCAUCAUGUAUCUGAUAAGUAUCUAGUAUCCAGAAUUUGUAAGGAACUAUUAGAUUUGACUACAAAAAGACAACUCAAUUAACAAACGGGCAAACGACUUGAAUAGAUAUUCUCCACAGAAGGUACACAAAGGGCCAAGAAACAUGAAAAGAUGUCCCGCGUCACAAUCAUUGGUGAAAUGCAAAUCAAAACCUCUAUGAGACACUACCUCACGCCCACUAGGAUGGCUAUUAUUUUUUAAAAAGAGAGAAUAACAAGGGUUGGCAAGGGAUGUGGAGAAAUUGGAGCCUGUAUACAUUGCUGGUGGGAAUGUGAAAUGGUGCAGCUGCUGUGGAAACUGGUUUGGCAUUUCCUCAAAAAGUUAAACAUAGAAUUACCAGACGGCCCAGCAAUUCCGCUCCUAGGUAUAUUCCCUAAAGCACUGAAAACAGGAACUCUGACAGAUACACACACAUUCAUAGCAGCAUUAUUCACAAUGGCUAAAAGGUGAGGACAACCCAAUGCCAUCAAUGGAUAAAUGAAUAAACUGUGGUCUGUCCACACAAUGGAAUAUUAUUCAGCUAUAAAAAGGAAUGAAAUUCGGAUACAUGCCACAGCAUGGCUGAAACGCAGAAAACAUAACUGUGUGAAAGAAACCAGACACAAAAGCCUACAUUUUGUAUGAUUCUAUUUAUACAAAAUUUCCUUUUGGGGUGAUGAAAAUAUUUUGGAACAAGAUAGAGGUGAUGGUUUCACAACAACUUGAAGGUACUUAACUUAACGUCACUGAAUUGUUCACUGUAAAAUGAUCGAUUUUGUUAAGUCCAUUUCACUUCGAUUUUAAAAAGUGAAGUUGAGCUAUUUUAAUGUGUUCAAGAACCAUAUGUACUUCCUUGUCUUUGACCUGGUGAUAUCAUUUGACCAUUUUUCUAUUGAGUUAUUGAUUUUUAGAACUGAUUUGUAAUUCCACUUUUUAAAGAAAAUGAUCCUGUGUGAUAGAUUGCAAAUCUUUUUCUCAGUUUUUAAUUUUUUUUUUUCUGAAUUGGGUUAUGGUGAAUUUUGCUCUGAAUAUUAAAAAAAUAAUACAGUAAUUA